CCUAGAUUUCCUUUGCUAUUGCUAAUAAAUUGAUUUUUUUUUCUUUUUCAGCAAUAACACACCUUGCCAAAUGAAGGACAGGUAUUGCUGUCUUCUCCCACAGGCCUCAGCCUUAGAAUUGGACAAAGAUGUUAGAGUAAGAGCUACCUGUCCUUCACCCGUCCCGAUUUGGACAUGAGACGGGGCACUUACGUCAGAGGAGGAAGUCCCAGAGAGGUGGCAAAAGGGAAUUUGUCAUCUUGGCUCCAGGUGCUGCGUUAGGAAGAAAUAAUAAUAAUUACGGUAUGUGUCAAGCAGCUCAUUGCGGGCAGGGAAUGUGUCUGUUCUACUGUUAUAUUGUACUCACCCGUGGGCUCAG
rnacentral:lncRNA from 1 species